GACGAACGCUGGCGGCGUGCUUAACACAUGCAAGUCGUACGGUAAGGCCCUUUCGGGGUUACACGAGUGGCGAACGGGUGAGUAACACGUGAGUAACCUGCCCACAACUUUGUGAUAACGCUAGGAAACUGGUGCUAAUACUGGAUAUGUGCUCCUGCUGCUUGGUGUGGGUUGGAAAGCUCCGGCGGUUGUGGAUGGACUCGCGGCCUAUAAGCUGGUUGGUGGGGUAGUGGCCUACCAAGGCGGCGACGGGUAGCCGGACUGUGAGGGUGACCGGCCACAUUGGGACUGAGAUAAGGCCCAGGUUCGGACGGGAGGCAGAAGUGGGGAAUCUUGAACAAUGGGCGCAAGCCGGAUGAAGAAAGGCCGCGUGCGGGAUAACGGUCUUGGGGUUGUAAACAGCUUUCAGCAGGAAAGAAGCUUUUUGUGACGGUACCUGAAGAAGAAGCACCGGCUAACUACGUG
rnacentral:rRNA from 1 species